rnacentral:rRNA from 1 species
UCGAACGAGAUCGGGCUUCGGCCCAUAUGAUCUAGUGGCGAACGGGUGCGUAACACGUGAGAAACCUGCCCUGAAGACGGGAAUAACCCGAGGAAACUCGUGCUAAUACCCGAUGCCUUCACAACACCGCAUGGUGGAGUGAAGAAAUGCUCCGGCGCUUUAGGAGGGUCUCGCGGCCUAUCAGCUUGUUGGUGAGGUAACGGCUCACCAAGGCAUCGACGGGUAGCUGGUCUGAGAGGAUGAUCAGCCACACUGGGACUGAGACACGGCCCAGACUCCUACGGGAGGCAGCAGUGGGGAAUAUUGGACAAUGGGGGAAACCCUGAUCCAGCAAUGCCGCGUGUGUGAAGAAGGCCUGCGGGUUGUAAAGCACUUUCAAUUGGGAAGAAAAGCAGACGGUUAAUACCCGUCUGUCUUGACGUUACCUUUACAAGAAGCACCGGCUAACUCCGUGCCAGCAGCCGCGGUAAUACGGAGGGUGCGAGCGUUAAUCGGAAUUACUGGGCGUAAAGCGCGCGUAGGCGGCUAUGUAAGUCGGAUGUGAAAGCCCCGGGCUCAACCUGGGAAUUGCGUUCGAUACUGCAUGACUAGAGUAUGGGAGAGGGAAGUGGAAUUUCCGGUGUAGCGGUGAAAUGCGUAGAUAUCGGAAGGAACAUCUGUGGCGAAGGCGGCCUUCUGGCUCGUUUCUGACGCUGAGACGCGAAAGCGUGGGGAGCAAACAGGAUUAGAUACCCCGGUAGUCCACGCCCUAAACGAUGGAUACUAGUCGUCGGGACACCUAAUAGUUUCGGUGACGGAGCUAACGCGUUAAGUAUCCCGCCUGGGGAGUACGGUCGCAAGAUUAAAACCCAAAGGAAUUGACGGGGGCCCGCAC